CCUACGGGUGGCAGCAGUGAGGAAUAUUGGUCAAUGGUCGGGAGACUGAACCAGCCAAGCCGCGUGAGGGAGGAAGGUACAGAGUAUCGUAAACCUCUUUUGUCAGGGAACAAAGACUGGGACUCGUCCCCGGAUGAGUUUACCUGAAGAGAAAGCAUCGGCUAACUCCGUGCCAGAAGCCGCGGUAAUACGGAGGAUGCGAGCGUUGUCCGGAUUUAUUGGGUGUAAAGGGUGCGCAGGCGGUCUGUUAAGUCAGCGGUCAAAGCCCGGGGCUCAACCGGAAAAUUGCAGUUGAAACUGGCAGUCUUGAGUACAGUAGAGGUGGGCGGAAUUCGUGGUGUAGCGGUGAAAUGCUUAGAUAUCACGAAGAACUCCGAUUGCGAAGGCAGCUCACUGGACUGCAACUGACACUGAGGCUCGAAAGUGUGGGUAUCAAACAGGAUUAGAUACCCUUGUAGUC
rnacentral:rRNA from 1 species